rnacentral:rRNA from 1 species
AUUGAACGCUGGCGGCAUGCCUUACACAUGCAAGUCGAACGGCAGCACGGGAGCAAUCCUGGUGGCGAGUGGCGAACGGGUGAGUAAUAUAUCGGAACGUGCCCGGUCGUGGGGAUAACGUAGCGAAAGCUACGCUAAUACCGCAUACGAUCUACGGAUGAAAGCGGGGGAUCGCAAGACCUCGCGCGAUUGGAGCGGCCGAUAUCAGAUUAGGUAGUUGGUGAGGUAAGGCUCACCAAGCCGACGAUCUGUAGCUGGUCUGAGAGGACGACCAGCCACACUGGGACUGAGACACGGCCCAGACUCCUACGGGA